GCACUCGUCGCCCGCCUAGCGUUGCUUCUCAGCGUCCCUUCCCAUCUUGAGCUAAUCCCGGUGGGGAUGAAGUACAAGGACCUGGGGUCAGGGGGCCUCGCCAGAGUGGGCCCUCAGCCCGCCUCCUCAUCGUCUUUUGGGGCCAGGGGAUCCAGGGAAUGUUCCAGAAGGAACAGCAGUGGGGGCAGUAAGCACAUUCCCGCAACCCCACCUCGGUUGCCCAUGGAGACCUCAGGCUGAGUAGCAUCUGCAGCCUUUGUCCUUGGGCUAGUGACAGUGACUGGAAUGCAUCCUGUCGGGCAUCAUGUCUGUGAACGGGAAGAAGGUGCUGCACAUGGACCGGAACCCCUACUACGGGGGCGAGAGCUCCUCCAUCACACCCCUAGAGGAGCUGUAUAAGCGUUUUCAGUUGCUGGAGGGGCCCCCUGAGUCGAUGGGCCGAGGCCGAGACUGGAACGUUGACCUGAUUCCCAAAUUCCUCAUGGCUAACGGACAGCUGGUAAAGAUGCUACUGUAUACAGAGGUGACUCGCUACCUGGACUUCAAGGUGGUGGAGGGCAGCUUUGUCUACAAGGGGGG
rnacentral:sRNA from 1 species